CUUCUUGUUGUUCCUGUGCACUAGAACUCCCAUCAACCUCUACCUGCUUUGAAUUAUGAAUCCCAUCAUGCUUUGUGAAUCCUUCAUGCAUAGGAACUUUGUAUGUCGUCAUUUGCCUGAGACCAGAAGCGUACUUAGGUUAUAUGGCUAACAUGUAAAAUGUAUUUUGCAUCCCCCCUUCAUAAACUGUAGAAAGUUUUUGGG